rnacentral:rRNA from 1 species
UACGUAGGGAGCGAGCGUUGUCCGGAAUUACUGGGUGUAAAGGGAGCGUAGGCGGGAUGGCAAGUCAGAUGUGAAAACUAUGGGCUCAACCCAUAGACUGCAUUUGAAACUGUUGUGCUUGAGUGAGGUAGAGGUAAGCGGAAUUCCUGGUGUAGCGGUGAAAUGCGUAGAGAUCAGGAGGAACAUCGGUGGCGAAGGCGGCUUACUGGGCCUUUACUGACGCUGAGGCUCGAAAGCGUGGGGAGCAAACAGG